GGCAGAGCUGGGCUUAAAAUUCAGCAGUCUGGCUCUGAAGCUCUUGACCUCCUUGAGAGAGCGCUAAACUUGGAAUGUUUUCUUCGUGGUGCCUUUGGUCCUGCUUCAUAUUCUUUAAUGCAUAGACCCUGGCCUCCAUCUUGAAAACGGAAAAUAAAAACAGCAGACCUCUGAAGGUCGAAGGGGAAGAAAAGCUGUAUCGAUUGUUGAGAUCUGGCGACUUGUUUAAAUUUCAUCAGCCUCACUUCUAUGAACUCUCAGAGCUGAUUACCAACUCCUACCACUGUUAACCCUCAUCCAGGAACAAGCUUAUGUCUUUAACAUUCUGAGUGGGCUUCAGCAUCCUUGCAUAUGUUCAAUUCUCAAAAACCUGUUGAAAUAAAAGAUCAGGAGACAUAGGAAGGAUGCCAGAAGAGAGCGUGGUAAGUGGGGGAGAAUCUUUCCCCAAGGGAUUGGAGGUAUUUCAGGAUUAGACUAUGUAUAUCUAUAAGCAUGCAUAUAUAUUUA
rnacentral:lncRNA from 1 species